rnacentral:lncRNA from 1 species
AAAGUAACUUGCUGAGCGCCUACCUAGCUGCACAAGAAGCUCAGGGCCUGAAGAUGAACACGCAGAGGCUGUGUGCAGGGGCAUGAGCUUACAGCUGGAAUUAGAGAUAAAGGAAAAGGCACCUGAGCCCUGUGACAUGCGGGGGGUCAGGGGAGGUGGGACAUAUGUGGCCUCGUAGCCAGAGCCCCGCCUGUUUCCCAGGACAUUCUGAAUACGGGUGAGAGACUGCGCGUUGGACAAUCACUGUGAGUCCCGACCCUUACCAGAAAAGUCACUCGCAGCGUCGUUUCCAGGCAUAGGUUAGGAUCACCAUCCUCUCCCACGGGCCGUAUGUUGCAAUCCUGAUAUGAAAACGUCUUCUAUCUCCUUCAACUGCGGCAGGAGCACAGCUCUGCAGAUUUGCUGGGGCUCUGUGGCGCAGUGGAGGCGAGGACAGAGGUGGCCCUGCUCUGGGAGAUCCCUUCCUAACUGGGGCUCCCUGACGGCUUCCUGCACAGGAGGGGCCCGACGCCGGCGGGACAAGCAGGGAGCCCAGAUCAGCCUUGGAAAGCUCAGGCUCAAACCAGAGCUCAAUGUGGAAAUUAAAAAACAAACCUUGACUUUG